GGAUGAAGGAGCUUGCUCCUGGAUUCAGCGGCGGACGGGUGAGUAAUGCCUAGGAAUCUGCCUGGUAGUGGGGGACAACGUUUCGAAAGGAACGCUAAUACCGCAUACGUCCUACGGGAGAAAGCAGGGGACCUUCGGGCCUUGCGCUAUCAGAUGAGCCUAGGUCGGAUUAGCUAGUUGGUGAGGUAAUGGCUCACCAAGGCGACGAUCCGUAACUGGUCUGAGAGGAUGAUCAGUCACACUGGAACUGAGACACGGUCCAGACUCCUACGGGAGGCAGCAGUGGGGAAUAUUGGACAAUGGGCGAAAGCCUGAUCCAGCCAUGCCGCGUGUGUGAAGAAGGUCUUCGGAUUGUAAAGCACUUUAAGUUGGGAGGAAGGGCAGUAAAUUAAUACUCUGCUAUUUUGACGUUACCGACAGAAUAAGCACCGGCUAACUCUGUGCCAGCAGCCGCGGUAAUACAGAGGGUGCAAGCGUUAAUCGGAAUUACUGGGCGUAAAGCGCGCGUAGGUGGUUUGUUAAGUUGGAUGUGAAAUCCCCGGGCUCAACCUGGGAACUGCAUCCAAAACUGGCGAGCUAGAGUAUGGUAGAGGGUGGUGGAAUUUCCUGUGUAGUGGUGAAGUGCGUAUGAUACGAAGGAGCACCAGUGGCGAAGGCGACCACCUGCACUGAUACUGACACUGGGUGCGAAAGCGUGGGGAGCAAACAGGAGUAGAUACCCUGGUAGUCCCGGCCGUAAAUCCAUGUCAACUAGCCGUUGGGAGCCUGAG
rnacentral:rRNA from 1 species